rnacentral:rRNA from 1 species
GACGUAGGGCGCGAGCGUUGUCCGGAUUUAUUGGGCGUAAAGAGCUCGUAGGCGGCUCGUUGCGUCGGCUGUGAAAACCCGCAGCUCAACUGUGGGCUUGCAGCUGAUACGGGCGGGCUGGGAUUCGGUAGGGGAGACUGGAAUUCCUGGAUGUAGCGGUGAAAUGCGCAGAUAUCAGGAGGAACACCGGUGGCGAAGGCGGGUCUCUGGGCCGAUAUCGACGCUGAGGAGCGAAAGCGUGGGGAGCGAACAGG